UACGGGGGGGGCAAGCGUUGUUCGGAAUUACUGGGCGUAAAGGGCUCGUAGGUGGCCAACUAAGUCAGACGUGAAAUCCCUCGGCUUAACCGGGGAACUGCGUCUGAUACUGGAUGGCUUGAGUUCGGGAGAGGGAUGCGGAAUUCCAGGUGUAGCGGUGAAAUGCGUAGAUAUCGAGAGGAACACCUGCGGCGAAGGCGGGUUGCUGGGCUGACACUGACGCUGAGGCGCGAAAGCCAGGGGAGCGAACGGG
rnacentral:rRNA from 1 species